UUUUGCAAAAAAUAUAAACUCUCCCCUCCCUUUUUCCCCUGAUUUCUCUCUCUCCUAUUCUUGUGAAACCCUAACAGCCCCUUCAGUUUUCCUUUGCUUGUCUCUACCAAAAAUGGCAUAUUUACAAAGAUUUGCUGACAAGCACAACUAUUACAUGCUUGUUAUAGUGAAAGCAUCAAAAGUUCUACUCUAUUUCGUAUUCCUCUUACACGAAAAUGGUUUUUGAUUGGUUCAUGGUUGUUGGGUCAGAUCUGACUUCUUGGGUCAAUCUGACCGCAUGCGUUGCUAAAUCACUAGAUCUGGGCCGUUGGAUUGUUGUUUGCUGAGUUUUGGUUGUGGAAAAGUUUUUAUCCCACAUCGUUGUUAUUAGUUUUAGUUGAACUUUUGGGGUUCUAUUUUAUAGAACCCCAACCCUUUUACAAAAAUAAGUUUUUGAAGGUCGGAAAGUUGAAAAAAAAGUUUGGAAAGGUAAAAGAGGCUUUUGUCUGAAAGGAAAUCUGAGUCUCAAAGUCAAAAAAUUUUAAAAAGUCUUUUUAGUCUUUAAAGAGUUGGAGAAGUUAAAAGGAUGGCUAAACUUCAAAAUUUUUUAAGCCUUCAUUAGUAACAUUUUAAGACUUCUCCAAGUGCUAGGUCUUUAUGAUUUGAAUUUUUUUAUUUCUUUUGCUCAAGUCUGUGUGGUUGGGUUGUUAGUUUUGGGCAGCACUUAAGGCUUUCAAAUUCGUUUUUGAUCAGGCUGCACCACAAAAGGAGUCCAGCCAGCCUGUUAGGCCAAAGGCCCAACGGGAAUAUUCUUUCAAAUUGUUAAGUCUAAAAGGGAAGCUAGUAUUAUGAAGGUCCAACCAUGGUGAAAAUGGCAUGAAGGCUCAACCAUAGGUAAAAAUGGCUUUUAAGGGGUUUGGUACACCCCCAGCUCAUUUCUUUUUCCUCUUUUAAAUUUCAGCAUGUCCAUUUGUUCUCUUAUUUGAAAUGUUGUACUUGUAUAAACUCACAUUAUUAUUGGAAUCUUUACAUUAUGAAUUAGGCAUCUUAGGUGAACGGUGCAUAUGCCGUUUAGUUAGACCUUAGGCCCCAACGCUAUUUUAAAACCUAGAUUAACGUAAACAUUUUCCAAAAAGAAAUAAAAAUGGCUAAGGUAAUAAAAGGAUCAGUCCCAUCUUUUACAAGAAAAAUACGUUGCUACCAUCUGUUUUUCUCAGAAUUAGACUAAAUCAGAUUUCUUGUAAAAAACUGAGAAAGAUGCUCUUUUCUAGUCAAGUUCCAGUCUUUUUUAAAGAGUUUUUUCAGAACUAGGUGAAUAAAAUACCCCACAAAACGAGUUCCAUCCUUUUGUCAAAAAAUUAGGCUAAAAAGGGAUUUUCAAAACUAUAUGAACAAAAUGCUUUACAAAAACGAGUUUUGUCAUUUUAAAAAUUAAAUCAGACGGAGGUAUGGUUUUAGAAUUGUGUAAAUAACAUAUUUUAAGAAAAUUUAGUUCUGCCUUUUUGUACCAAAAAUCAGAUGAAUCAAAGGUAGUUUUUAAGCAUAUAUAUAUAAUUCGUUUAUACUAAGGUGCAUACAUAAUUUUCUGGCAAUAAAUUAAGGCAAGUUAUAGAAUUUGAGGGCCAAGGCCUAACCCAAAAGGUCGUGUUUCAGGCCCCAUCUAACCAAUUUCUUUCGGAUAAAGCAAAACACAAAAAAUAUGUUUUGGGCUUAGCCUGAGGAAAAAAUGGAUUUUGGACCAAAAAACUAAGCAAACUUUCAGCAUUUCUAAAGAAGGCGAAAUUUGGGCCUAAGCCCAUAACAAAUAUUGUUUCUCGUGAUAUAUAAGUAAAUUGAACGUUUUAAGACAAAUUCUUGGAAUCAAGAUAAAUUAAUUUGAUUGUAUAGACCAACUCUUGCAAAAUCUAUGCAAAACAUUUUUUUUAAAGAAAAAAUGAGCAAGUCCUAAAUAAAGGUGUUCUAAAAACGUACUAAAUGGACUAACCCUGACCAUGUGUGAGUCUAAGCAUGAACGAAUUUCAUUACUCCAAACUUUUAAAACGACUUUUACCUUUACAAAACAAUAUUAUCCUUAUUUGUAAAAGGAACUAAUCUUAUCCGGAUAUUAUAAAUCCGAACCUAAAUACCCUUUAUGUAAGGGGAAUAUAUCCAAUUCUUUUCAAAAAAUGAUAUGCAACAUGACAAACUUUUGCGGGAAACAAACACCAAAUAAACAGUUCAUGCAAAUACUUACACAUUGGAAUUCGAAGGUCAACCGUAUAGUACAGAUCCUUAAUACUAGGGUGCCUAACACCUUCCCUAGGGGAUCACUAGAACCUUUACCUAGAACUUUAGAUUAAGAAGGAUUUUUCACGGCGUAUGA